CCUGGCGGCACUAGCGCGGUGGUCCCACCUGACCCCAUGCCGAACUCAGAAGUGAAACGCCGUAGCGCCGAUGG
rnacentral:rRNA from 7 species